UACGAAGGGGGCUAGCGUUGCUCGGAAUCACUGGGCGUAAAGGGUGCGUAGGCGGGUCUUUAAGUCAGGGGUGAAAUCCUGGAGCUCAACUCCAGAACUGCCUUUGAUACUGAAGAUCUUGAGUCCGGGAGAGGUGAGUGGAACUGCGAGUGUAGAGGUGAAAUUCGUAGAUAUUCGGAAGAACACCAGUGGCGAAGGCGACUUACUGGACACGUAUUGACGCUGAGGUGCGAAAAGCGUGGGGAGCAAACAGG
rnacentral:rRNA from 1 species